AAAGAUUUUUCCCAGUCGGAGCUGUUUUUUCCAAGUUCAGUGGUCUUGAAUGCCUUGAAAUCUGAGUUUUCCGAGUUCCCAGUUAUUGUGAAUGCGGCAUACCUUUCAGUAGCCUGGCUGACGCGCGACCACGUGACUACACAGCGAUGUGAUGUUGCUGCAUUCAAGUGCUAGUCUGAACUAGUAAACUCGGAAUGUCCGACCUGCUAGUUAGUUGUAGUUAUACACAUGCCGCUCUCAACCACUUUUAGCGACUCGGGCAUGUCGAGUUUCUUAGUUCCAACUAGCACACGAACGCGGCAUACGACUCAAGCCCUGAGUCAAGACAAGCACGUAACGUUAUAGUGUUGGCAAGUCUAACAUUUCAGUAUUUUAGGGAUCAAAUCAACUAAAGAAGUCGACAAUGGAUGAUCGUGAGCUUGAUCUCAGAGUCACAGAAAGCUACCAAGUCACAAUACCCGGCGAUCAACAAGAAGUAUGAAUGAAGUAAGAGUUUUGCACAUUGACAGGAUGCACUUUAAAAUCCGCUCUAUUGGGUGGGGAGAAGAGUUCAGCUUGGUCAAGCAUCCACAGAGGACAGAGGUGAAGGCCAUCACUUACUCAGCCAUGCAGGUCCAUGACAUCGACAAGCCAGAGAUCUUUGCCAUCGUCGAUAUCUGAGGAUUUUCUACAGAGGAACUGUCUCUGAAGGGAACAGGACUAUCAGAGCAUGCCUGUGUGAAUGGACAUUGGAUUAAGGGCAACAGCACAGGUUUUGAUCAUGAGCUUGUGAAGUGUGAUGUUUUCCCCGUCAGGAAGCAAACCUGGUCCUAAUACAUGCUGUUUAUAGCUGCUAAGAGUAAUCUGGCUGUCUGACUAGAGUUUACUGAGGAAUGUCACUAAUUAAGAUUUGUUAUAAUUUUUAUGUAUCCCAAAUUAAUCUCCGAAUUUUCAAGACGAGACAGAAUCAUCACACAAAAUCCAGUUUGCCUACUACUAGGGAACUUAAACAUGAACAUGAAACCCCUUCUUGUUGACUAAUACAUAUUUUUGGUAUUAUGUACUGUGUUUUUUACAGGGUUAUAUUUAUUUUAAGCAUUUCAAUUGCCACCUCAGUGAUAGAGAUACUUAAAGGAUUCAUGCUGGGCACUACUCAUUGUAAAUAGUCAAAUCACAAGUGAUCUUUGGAUACUUUAGUUAAAUAAGUGUAUCUGUUUGCAAUUAGUUUUGUAAUAAAAAUAUUUUCCACACUACAA